rnacentral:rRNA from 1 species
CCCUUAGAUGUUCUGGGCAGCACGCGCGCUACAAUGGUCUUCGCAAACGGAUGCAUUCUCGAAGGAGAAUGCCAAUCUUGGAAUCUAUGCCUUGGUCGGGACAGUUGCUUGCAAUUUUUCGACUCGAACCAGGAAUUCCUUGUAAUCGUGGUUCAUCACAUCACGAUGAAUACGUCCCUGCCCUUUGUACACACCGCCCGUCGCUCCUACCGAUUGAAUGUUCCGAUGAAUACCAUGGACUGAGAGUAUGAAUGGGUUCGCCUAUUUCUGCUUCUCGGGAAGUGGAGUAAAUCUUAACAUUUAGAGGAAGGAGAAGUCGUAACA